CCCUGGAGAAGCACUUACUAAGACGAUGACUAUAGCAAAGGAGCAGCUGCGACCGGGCCGUCACUCCAGUGGUCCGACUGCCCUGUUGAGCCCUGCUGAUGUAUAGGGCUAUCGGGAAAUUUCACGGAGGACUACCAAGAUACAAUGGCAGGCUUCUGAGACUCACAAAAAGGAGCAGUGAAUACAUGGGCUGAAUCACUUUCUAAAAAAGAUUUCUAAGAUCCUCUUACUACACCACAUCCUGACUCCAACCUUCCGUCAAAUCAAGUAAAGUAACUGAAAAUGUGCAUUAAAAUGUGUAAUGAGAUGUGCAAUACAUUUUUUCCCUCUUCUGUCAAUGUUUGUUAAGUUACCUGAAACCGGAAUAUAAAAAAUUGGAAAUAUUCUU